UGAGCCCUGCCGUGCCCGUGUCUGGCCGUGAGUGUUUUGAGCCAACACCAUCACCUGGGGAGCCCAAGCUCUACGCGAGGCCGUAGACCCUUGACCUGCGCCCACUUCGGUGGGCUCGAGGGGAACGCUAAUCGCGCAGGCGGCACCCACCUGCAUAUGCAGGUUCAAAACAGGGCGGCUGCACGACACGGUGGGGAGAUC
rnacentral:other from 1 species